CAUUGUCCCAGGCUGGGCAGCCGUGAGGGCUGGCCAUGGACACCCCACAUCCCCUCUGCGUCCCCAAGCCCUCCCACUCUCCUCCUUACCCCCCACCAAGGCCUUGGGAAUUGUGUGGGGAGGCGAGAACGCCCCACACAACCCGUUUAUUAUUUUUUUGGGGAAAGUCCUGGCAGCCUUCCCCUUGAAUCCUGUUUCCAUGAGGCAGCCAAAGCUCCGUGCGGGAACAAGCCUGGGCCUGGCAAGGGGGGCCCUGAGUGCCCCCGCCCCGGGAAGCGCCCCGGCAUCCUCCGGGAGCCGCCGCUGCCACCAGACUGAGGUCCUGAUGUCAUCCUGAGCCUCGCUGGCAACGGAAGAUGCACUGAGUGGUGCGGGUUUCUGUGGCCAGCCCCCUGCCAUGGAGGAGGAGGGAUCUCUGCCGGUGGCCGCCUGGCUGUCUGCCCUCCACCUCGACCAGUAUGUGGAGAACUUCCAGCAAAGUGACCUGUGGUCAGUGUGGGACUGCCGGGCUCUGACGGACGAGAGGCUCACCCGCCUCGGGGUGCUGCUGCCCGGCCACCGCCGCCGCAUCCUCCUGGGGUUGCAGAAAGCCUUUGCUGAGGCCUCGCUGCCCGCCGGGACUCAGCAGCCCCCUGCCAGUAAACCUGUCCCCAUGAAGCGCCACAUCUUCCGUGUGAGCGCUGCAACAGGGCAGGAGCAGCCGGAGCCCCGGUGCCCGCCGGUGGCCGGUGGGACCCCACUGCUGGAGCCAGAGCGGGGUGCAAGCCUCACCCAGCUGCCCCCACCCAUUCCACCCAGGGUGGGCUGCCGUCCCCCCCUCAAAUUCUCAUCAUCGCUAUCUGGGGGCAGCCCCGAGCCCCCUCCUGCAUCCUGCAGCCAUCUCCCAGCCCUAGAGGAGCCCUCUCCACCGGUGCUUGGGGAGAAGCCCCCUGCUGACAGCAGGGCGAGACCCCCAUUGCCACCGCUGCCAGCCAAGCGACACCAACUGGAAACCAAGUGCCAGAGCCUGAAGGGCCCCCCACUGCCUGACCGCCCUCCCGAGCUCCCCCCAAGGGCUGUGUCCCAGAGGAGCACCCCUGCCAAAGAGGAGGUCCCCAUCACUGAAAGAGCACCCGGUGUCACCCUGUCCUCCCUGCCUUGCACGAAGGCGCCAGCCCCGACGCCACCAGCGCUGCCCUCCAAGGCCACCCUUCCCUUUGUGCCAGAGUUUGAUGACUCAGACUACGAGGACUCGGCGUGGGAGGAGGAAUUAGCCAGACCGGCGGGGGAGAUGGCCAAGGAGGAUGCUGAGCCUAGGACGAGGAGACCACGAUCCAUGCGUUGCAGCCUCUUCAGUGAAGAUGAGUUCGGCGAGGACCACCCCAGUGCAUCCCCUGCCAAUGGUGGCAGCAGCUGGAGUGACAGGGACCCCAGCCUGCACCCGUCUGCACCCGACACCUUCCCUGGCAGCAGCUCCGACACAUUCAGUGACAGCAUGGAGGGCACCAGUGCCACCGCCUCGCUGUCACCCACCAUCAGAGCAGGGUGGCUGGACAAGAACCCACCACAGGGGUCCUACAUCUACCAGAAGCGCUGGGUGAAGCUUGACGCUGACUACCUCCGCUAUUUUGACAGUGAAAAGGAUACCUACUCCAAGGGGCUCAUUCCCGUCUCCUCCAUCUCCCGCGUCUCCAGCAUUGGGGACCAGAAAUUUGAGGUUGUCACCAACAACCGCAACUUCGUGUUCCGGGCCGAGAAUGAUGCAGACCGCAACCAGUGGAUAAGGACCCUGCAGCAGAUUGCAGAGGAGCGGAAGAGCAAAGCUCCAGAGAGGACAUCGAUGUCCUUUGCCACCGACAGUGCCACUGAGCCAGCUGAUAAGAGUGGCUUCCUGGAGCUGCGGGGCUUUAAGCACAAGCUCUUUGUGGUGGUGGUUGGGGACAAAGUGUUCCUUUACAAGAAUGCAGAGGAUUAUCGGCUGGGGAUUGGCAUCACCUACAUUGAGAUGAAUGUGGGGAACGUCAAGGAGGUGGAUCGCCGGGGCUUUGACCUCACCACACCUUACAGGAUCUUCAGCUUCUCUGCUGACACGGAGCAGGAGAAGGAGGAAUGGGUGGAGGCCAUGCAGCAGUCCAUCGCUGAGGCACUCUCCAACUCGGAGGUGGCCGAGAGGAUCUGGGCAGCGGAGUCCAACCGCUUCUGUGCCGACUGCGGCUCCCCCAAACCCGACUGGGCCUCCAUCAACCUCUGUGUUGUCAUCUGCAAGAGAUGUGCAGGGGAACACCGGGGAUUGGGCCCGGGCAUCACCAAAGUCCGGAGCCUGAAGAUGGACAGGAAGGUGUGGACUGAGGAGCUGAUCGAGCUCUUCCAGCAGUUUGGCAAUGUGACGGCCAACCAGUUUUGGGCUGCAAAUGUGCCUCCCAGUGAGGCCAUCAGCCCCACCAGCAGCAGCCAGGAGAGGAGGCGCUUCCUCAUCGCCAAAUACCGGGAGGGCAAGUACCGCCACUACCACCCGCUCUUCGGCAACCAGGAGGAGCUUGACAGGGCUCUGUGUGCGGCUGUCACCACCAGUGACCUGGCAGAGACGCAGGCUCUGCUCUUCUGUGGGGCAUCGGUGACCUGUGACACCGGGGACCCUCAGUGCCCAACGCCCCUGGCCCUGGCUGAGAGAAGUGGGCAGCGGCUGCAGAUGGAGUUCCUGCUCCACAACAAAACCUCAGAGCCGCCACGCCUGGAGAUGGUGUGCAGUGAGGAGAAGCACUACUCUGUGCACCUACCCUCCAUUACCCACAAUGGCUUCCUCUACAAGACCCCCUCCAUGGUCAAGCCCAUCACUGAGCGGAAGGGCCCAGAAGAGUUCAGCCGGCGGUGGUGCACGCUGCAGGAUGGUGUGCUCAGCUACUAUGAGAACGACCGUAACACUGUGCCCAAUGGCGAGAUCAGGGUGGAGGAAAUUGUCUGCCUGGUGAACAACCCACUCCAUGCCCAUGGGUUCGAGAGCACGUUUGAGGUGUACACCGAGGCAGAUCGACUCUACCUCUUCGGGCUGGAGAGCCCUGACUCCGCUCGAGAAUGGCUCAAGUCUAUUGCCAAGUCCUUUGUCCACCCCUGUGCCGAGGAGCUGGUGGCACUAGACUUUGAGCGGCUUGGCCGACUGCAUUACAAAGGGGGUCUCACCCUGGAGCGUGCCCAGGAGGGCUGGUUUGCCCUGGUCGGCUCCACGCUCCAUGUCUGCUCCGAGGAUGGCCGUCGGCAGGAGCCUCUCCAGCUGCGCAAGCUGCAGGAGCUCUCCAUCCAGGGGGACCAUGAGGUUCUGGUGCUGGUGGAGAGGCGGAGGACACUGUACAUCCAAGGGGAGCGGAAGCUAGAUUUCCUGGGCUGGGUCCACGCCAUCCAGAAGGCUGCGGGCAGCGCGGGGGACACCUUGUCGGAGCAACAGCUGACGGAGUCGGACGUCCCACUGCUGGUGGACCGCUGCAUUGACUACAUCACCCAGUGCGGGCUGACGUCUGAGGGAAUCUACCGCAAGAGCGGGCAGAACUCCAAGACCACCAGCCUCCUGGAGGUGCUGCAGCGGGAUGCGCGCCGUGUCUGCCUGAAAGAGGGCGAGCACCAGGUGGACGAUGUGGCCAACACCCUCAAACGCUUCUUCCGUGACCUUGGGGAUGGGCUCUUCACUCGGCGGUGGGCCCCGGACUGGCUGUGGGCAACGGCGCUGGAGGAUGAGGAGGCAAAGAUUGGCAAGUACCGGCAGCUGCUGGCUGCCCUCCCUCCAGUGAACCGGGCCACGCUGAAGGCGCUCAUCAAUCACCUCUUCCGGGUCCAGUGCUUCUCUGGGGAGAACCAGAUGAACACACACAACCUGGCCAUUGUCUUUGGGCCCACACUCUUCCAGACGGAUGGGAAGGACUACAAGGCAGGACGUGUGGUGGAGGACCUCAUCAGUCACUAUGUGGAGAUCUUUAACGUCAAUGACCAAGAGAUGAAGAAGCAGCAGGAUGAAAUCACAGCCAUCAUGAAGAUGCGGGAGGCAUCAUCCAGUGGAACACAGCAAGCUGGGGACUUCAUCUGCACUGUCUACCUGGAGGAGAAAAAGACAGAGACAGAGCAGCAUGUCAAGAUCCCAGCCACAAUGACAGCUGAGGAGCUCACCUUUGAGAUCCUGGACCGGCGGAAAAUUGUCAUGAAGGAGAAAGACUACUGGAGCUGCUUUGAAGUGAAUGAGAGGGAAGAGGCAGAGCGGCCCUUGCACUACUCGGAGAAAGUUCUGCCCAUCCUGCACUGCCUGGGGACAGACAGUUACCUGGUGGUGAAGAAGCAGAUGUCCAUGGAGAACAUGCUCAUCUACCUUGCCAGCAGAGUGGGUGACUGCAAGCAUGGCAUGAUGAAAUUCCGGGAGGAAAGGAACCUGCUGGGACUUGGGCUGAGCACUGGCUUCCAUGAUCGCUACUUCAUCCUCAACCACUCCUGGCUGCGCCUCUACAAAGAAGUGCGGAGCCUGAGGCAGCGGAGCCCCCCCUUGGAGAGCAGUCACAAGCCAGAGAAGGAAUGGCCUGUCCGAAACCUGAAGGUCUACCUGGGUGUUAAAAAGAAGCUUCGACCCCCGACGUGCUGGGGCUUUACAGUAUUCUACGAAAACGAGAAGCACGAGAAGCAGCAAUGGUACCUGUGCUGUGACACCCAGGCCGAUCUGCGGGAGUGGUUUGCCACCUUCCUCCAGGUGCAGAAUGGGGGUGCCCUGUGGCCCUCGGAGCGUCCCAAGAUGCGGGUGGCACGGCCGCAGCAGGAUGCCAGGUUGGGUAACAUCUCCCUCAUCCCGCUGCGGGGCAAUGAGAGCGAGAUGAGGAACAGUGUGGCUGCUUUUGCUACUGACCCUCUAACUGUGAGUGAUCCAGGGACACUGGGUGACCCUCCAUGCGGGGCUGCAUCCCUCCUGCAUCACAUGAUGGGGGGGUCCUGGUCUCCAAACCUGGGUGGGGGGUAUCCUGGGCUCUCAUUCCUGCUCCCAUUAGUUGUGUACUGCAUCAUCUCCAGUGAUGGAUCUGGGGGGGCUAGCUGAUCCUUUGGGGGCUGGUGGGAUCUCCUGGAUUCAGAGGGGUCCCAAACCAUGUGAUGCAAAAAGAGGGGAUGCUGCCAUGCUCCUGAUUUUUCUCUAACAGGGGUGAGUUUUCUGUCUUGGUCACAGAUCAGCUCCCCAUCCUGCUGUCUUGUCUGUCUGCAACAGCUGUCCUGCCUGGGGACUGUCACCCAUCAAGUGUCCCUCAACCAUGCGGGUGCUGGUGCUGGACUUUUGCCCAGCCACGAGGCUGGUGGUGGGACAGAGAUGGUCCCACCACCUCCAAGACAAUCACUUGGGCCCUCGUUGCUGUUAUAAACCAGGAAACAGGGCUGUGCCAGGGGAAUCCCCCACCAGCAUCAGUUGGGCAUCACCCAGUGGGUGCUCAGGGAUGCUCCAAGGGCAGACAGUAGCAUAUUUGCUGUCUUGGAACCCCUGCACAGACUCAGGUUUAUAACUGAGGGCAGUGGAGAAGCCUCCAGGGGCUUUGCUGUGGGCUAUGCUUCACAGUGUGCUUGUAGUGGUGUGGUCUGGUACAGGCUACCAGCACACCAGGGCUCCCAGGGGACAGUGGGUGAGUGUCCCCUGCCACAGGGCCAGCAUGGGAAGGGGUGCUGGGACCGCAGUGACCCUGGGGCGACCAUGGUUUCUCUUGCUGGGGGUUUUCCCUGUGUCCCCCUGGGUGCUAUGCUGCCAGUGAUGCCCAGACACAGAGGAGGAGGAGGCUGAGGAUGAAAAGUGAUCUGUCUGCUCUUUGUCCCCAGCUUCUGCGGAACGUCUGAGCUGGAAAACUGACAUGCCAGUUCAUCUCCAAGUGGGGCAGCCCUCGGGGUACCGCACAAGCCCCGCACCCUGGCAUCUGC